GUUCGCUGGCGCCCGGAUGUCUGAGCUCUGGCUCCGCUCUGGCUCCGGCUCCCUCCGCAGCCUGCGGGCGGGGCUCCCAGCCCAUCCGGAGCCUCGCGGCGCCCCUGCCGCUCUGCCAGCAGCGCGGCCUCCCGGUUCCCAGCCUCCCGGCCUGGGGGGCCCCCCCGCCCAGCCGAGUUGCUGACCCGACUGCUUUCCCGCUGCCCCCAGCUGCGCUCGGGCCGCUGCAGCCUCGGCGCGCCCCCACCCCGCUUCCUGCCUCGGCAGCUUUGCCCGGACCGGGCGGCCGCCCUGGAUCGCACCCCGUUCCUUCCUUCCUUCAUUCUUUCAGGCAACUCGCAUUCCUCGAGCGCCUGCGACGUGCCCCGUACAAGGCCUCUCCGACCUUCGGAGUGUGGCCCACCGGGGUCCUCCCAGAAGCCUCUGCCCUCCUCACCCCGCCCUGGACUCUCCUCUCUGAUGUCCUGUUUCACUCAGAGGGUAGCAUUUAAUUGUUCUCUGAUUAUUUCUCCUGUUAAGGGUCAGUCGGUGGCAAGGUCAAGGGAGGGCUUUGUGACCGAAAUCAGGGGUCAGUCUGAAAGUAGGGUGAGGGAUCAGAAUGUGGCCAGAGUUGGGGUUCAGCCAAACCGUGGCAGGAUUUGGAGAUAGUGUGGGUAGGAGUUGGCAGCGCUCUGUCUAUGGCCAGGCUUUAUAGACAGGGAGGGUGUGAGGGUUAGUGUGAAUAGCAUCAGUAGCCAAGAUUAGUGAGUCAGUCUUUCGGUAGGGUCAGUGGACAAUCUGGAUCAGGGUAAUAGGUCACCCAGAGACCAGGAUUUGGGGGUUGACUUUGACAAGCCAGUUAAGGGGAGGAGGGCGCUGUAGCUUUCUGAACUCACAUUAGUGGUUCCUCUGUGGGCAGGGGGUGGGGGUGGUGGUGACCAUAGCUUCCCCCUGCAUCGUCCAGGUGGAGCUGGCCUUCCGUCUAGGACACUCAUUGUCCUCAACAACACCCUGCUUUGAUCAUGUGCCAGAUGUAGGGGAGGGGUAGGUAAGGGGGGCAAAACUCUCAUUGGAUCAGACCAUGGUCAGAAUGGCAGUAACACUGGCCAUGGCAGGGAGGCCCUAGGUGUCCCAGGAACCCCAUCUUGGAGUCACCCAUGUUUAACAGGGCCCCUGGCAGGUCUUACAGUGGGACCAGAUGUAUGAAGGCAUUGACUUAAAAAAUAUGCACAACCUUAAAGCUCUUUUAAAUCUUUGUACAAACCAACGCCGCAUAGAAUGGUCUUCAAACAGCCAUCACAGCCCUGCUGUGCUUUCUGUGAGUUCGGGAAUCAGACAGAUGCUGGUUGAAAAUGCGGGCUUUGUCGUCUAGCAGCUUUCCCAUCACAGGUAAGUCAUUUAUGCUCCCAGAGCCUCCGUGGUUACUGUGAUGAUUCAAGUAGAUGACAUAUGUAAAGCACCUGGCACUUGGGAGGCCCUGGGUGACCCCCCACCCCAGGGCCUGCUGGGCAUGGUUGUCAGAUUCCUCACAGAAUUCUUCCAUCAUCUCUCCUGGUGGUGGUGUGGUUGGCCCAGUCCAGUCACAGCAUCUCAGCACUGCCUGUCCAGCCUCUGUGCUCUUCAGAGCCCUUCCACACACAUGCAGGAGUAUCUGAUCAGCAGGACAGCUCGGUGCAGGGACUGAAAAACUGGGGCUGCACCCCGGGGUCCCCACUCUUAGGCUCUGCCACUUCGAACAAGCUCUUUCACCUCUCUGAGCCUCAGAGAGCCACCACAGAGCCCUGCUGAGGGUUUAGUGAGGAACUAAAGGCAAGCAUCUAGGGGCCUGCUAGCACGUGGAGGCACUCAGUAAGUCAGAGGCAGAGUUAGGAAUAGUCCUAUUUCACAGAAGAAGAAACUGAGUCCCUCAGGGGGUAAGUGAUUCAUCCAGUGUCAUGUGGAAAGAUCCCUUCACAGACCUGGGAUUAAAAACCACAUCUUCAGAGUUCCCCUUUGUGGCUCAGCAGGUUAAGAACCCAACAAUUGUCUGUGAGGAUGUGGGUUCAAUCCGGGGCCUUGCUCGGUGAGUUAAGGGUCUGGCAUUGCCACAAGCUGUGGUGUAGGUGGCAGAUGAGGCUCAGAGCUGGCAUUGCUGUGCCUGUGGUGUAGGCCAGUAGCUGCAGCUCAGAUUUGACCCCUAGCCGGGGAACUUCAAUGUGCCGCAGGUACAGCCAUUAAAACAAAACAAAACAAAACAAAAAAAA
rnacentral:lncRNA from 1 species